UCCUACGGGAGGCAGCAGUAGGGAAUCUUCCGCAAUGGACGAAAGUCUGACGGAGCAACGCCGCGUGAGUGAUGAAGGCUUUCGGGUCGUAAAACUCUGUUGUUAGGGAAGAACAAGUGCUAGUUGAAUAAGCUGGCACCUUGACGGUACCUAACCAGAAAGCCACGGCUAACUACGUGCCAGCAGCCGCGGUAAUACGUAGGUGGCAAGCGUUAUCCGGAAUUAUUGGGCGUAAAGCGCGCGCAGGUGGUUUCUUAAGUCUGAUGUGAAAGCCCACGGCUCAACCGUGGAGGGUCAUUGGAAACUGGGAGACUUGAGUGCAGAAGAGGAAAGUGGAAUUCCAUGUGUAGCGGUAAAAUGCGUAGAGAUAUGGAGGAACACCAGUGGCGAAGGCGACUUUCUGGUCUGUAACUGACACUGAGGCGCGAAAGCGUAGGGAGCAAACAGGAUUAGAUACCCUGGUAGUCCACGCCGUAAACGAUGAGUGCUAAGUGUUAGAGGGUUUCCGCCCUUUAGUGCUGAAGUUAACGCAUUAAGCACUCCGCCUGGGGAGUACGGCCGCAAGGCUGAAACUCAAAGGAAUUGACGGA
rnacentral:rRNA from 1 species